UGCAGUGUGGCAUAAUGGUUUGAAUGUUGGGACUAUGACUCUGAAGAACAGGGUUUGAAUCCCUGCUCAGCCA